rnacentral:rRNA from 1 species
CCCAGACUCCUACGGGAGGCAGCAGUGGGGAAUAUUGCACAAUGGGGGAAACCCUGAUGCAGCAACGCCGCGUGGGUGAAGGAGCGUUUCGGCGCGUAAAGCUCUAUCAGCAGGGAAGAAGAAAGACGGUACCUGACUAAGAAGCCCCGGCUAACUACGUGCCAGCAGCCGCGGUAAUACGUAGGGGGCAAGCGUUAUCCGGAUUUACUGGGUGUAAAGGGUGCGUAGGUGGCAGGGCAAGUCAGAUGUGAAAGCCCGGGGCCCAACCCCGGUACUGCAUUUGAAACUGUCCGGCUGGAGUGCAGGAGAGGUAAGCGGAAUUCCUAGUGUAGCGGUGAAAUGCGUAGAUAUUAGGAGGAACACCAGUGGCGAAGGCGGCUUACUGGACUGUAACUGACACUGAGGCACGAAAGCGUGGGGAGCAAACAGGAUUAGAUACCCCUGUAUG